CAUCUUGUCUACAUGAUAACCAGGUUAGUUGUCUUACUGUCAUCUUGUCUACAUGAUAACCAGGUUAGUUGUCUUACUGUCAUCUUGUCUACAUGAUAACCAGGUUAGUUGUCUUACUGUCAUCUUGUCUACAUGAUAACCAGGUUAGUUGUCUUACUGUCAU